CCUACGGGUGGCAGCAGUGAGGCAUAUUGGUCAAUGGGCGCGAGCCUGAACCAGCCAAGUCGCGUGAGGGAAGACGGUCCUAUGGAUUGUAAACCUCUUUUGUCGGGGAGCAAAAGACGCCACGCGUGGCGUUCCGAGAGUACCCGACGAACAAGCAUCGGCUAACUCCGUACCAGCAGCCGCGGUAAUACGGAGGAUGCGAGCGUUAUCCGGAUUUAUUGGGUUUAAAGGGUGCGCAGGCGGAAGAUCAAGUCAGCGGUAAAAUUGAGAGGCUCAACCUCUUCGAGCCGUUGAAACUGGUUGUCUUGAGUGAGUGAGAAGUAGGCGGAAUGCGUGGUGUAGCGGUGAAAUGCAUAGAUAUCACGCAGAACUCCGAUUGCGAAGGCAGCAUACCGGCGCUCAACUGACGCUCAUGCACGAAAGUGUGGGUAUCGAACAGGAUUAGAUACCCUUGUAGUC
rnacentral:rRNA from 1 species